AUGUUAGCAGUUUUCAUGAAUACAACGCAUUGUCACGAACAGUAGUCACCCGUGAAUCACCAUCUGGGUCCUGAACGUAGUGCUCCUAACUGGGAGCACCUUGGGUCAGCAUCUCUCCAGCCUCCCUGCUCCGGCCCGGGGCAGCCACCACUCUGCUUCCCUUCUGUAAGUUCAGCUAUUUUUAGCUCCCACACAUAAGUGAAACGGAUCGUGCAGGAUUUGUGUUUCUGUGCCUAGCGUGUCUCACUUAGCAUAAUGGACAUCUGCCUUUGUGGAGUGAGCCUUGGGUGCAGUGGUUAAGACACUGGGAUACCCGCGUCCUCUAUCAGAGCACCUGGUUCAAGUCCCAGUUCCACUCUGACUCCAGAUGUCGGCUCAUGUGCACCCUGGGAGCAGUAGUGAUGGUCCAAGUAUUUGGGUCCCUGCCACCCACAUGGGAGACCUGUCUGGGUAUUUGGGGGAGUGAACUAACAGAUUGAAGAUCUCUCUGUGUGUCUCUGUCUCUGUCUUUUAAAUAAAAAUAAAUAAAUAAAUAAAUAGAUUUGAACAAAUUAUCUACCUGUACAUAUGUAAACAUAUUAAGAGGAUUGAAAUUGCCUAUGAUGUCAUGUGGGGGCAUCUCAAUGCAUUUUGUUCCAGUCUUUUUUCCGUUAUUGACAAACGCCUCCCUGGUAGCGCUUAACCUAAUCGCUGUCAUGUAAAAUUUGGCGGAGGUUAACUGGGACUUCACUCUGUGGAUCUGGAGAAGAUCUGACCUGUGUACUCAUUUCACACCCACAGGCCUCUGGUCGGGCUUGAUCCUCUGUGUCUUCUUUCAAGCCCUUUUCUACCUGGUGUAUGUUUGGAGGACAAACUGGACAAGAGCUGCAGAGCAGGUAACAGGUGGUGUCUUUUUGGAAACGUGGCCCUGCUUGAUCCCAGCACGUGAUCAGGAACCUCUUAGGGCCAUGAAAUGUAUCUCACAGGCCAGGUGGGGCAGAGGGAAGACCGCCUUGCAGUGCGUUGCAGCGCGUCUUCCUCCUGCUGUGGAGCUGAGUUAACACCUACAGACCGGGGAAUGCACCUUACAAGUGAACAGCAGCAACAGAAAAAGGAAUUCGCUUGCCAAGUAUCUUUCCUGUUUCAGUGUAACAGUUUUAGAGAAAUAGCAGUUUGGGUCCGCUUAUGCAGAUUACUGAUUUGCGUAGGUUUCUUUUCUUUCACUAAAAGGUAGUAUGCUACACAUCUGUGAUCUGUGGGACGCGGCGUAGGGCUAGAGGGUCAAGAUCAUGAUGGAUGCGUCUGUGUUGAGUGGGAAGCCCUUCUCUUGUUUGGGGCUUGAGAGGAGAUGGGUAGGUGCUGGCCUGAGGCGGGGUUGUUGCCCGGAACACCAGGGGUGAGUUUGGUUUCACUGCUGUCCACCAUCAGCUGUACCCAGCCUUUCCGUUUUCAACCCUUUUGAUUUGCCUAACUGAGAUUUAUUUUGUCUUUCUUGCGCUCAGUUUGAUUUACGAGGUGAGUAGAGUGUGGCAGGACCAUAAACUGACACCAUUCAUCUUUAGAAUUUACUGCUUUUACCUGUGUUUAGGAACACUGAAAGGUGUAAGUGCAAACAAUGCACGACACUCGCGAUGCUAGCAACAGGCUUUUUGUACUAUUGCUGUGCGCUCAGCCUGGUUGUCUGGUGUUGUGUUCUGCUGGCCUGAGGCAUUUUCAGGACUAAGAAAGGUGGUGCAAGAUGACGUCACCCUUGAGCGGGAGCUUUGCACUGGAACAGAAGACUGCUACCUUGACUUCCACUUCCGGUACUCACCUGACAUUUGUUUUUAGGCACGGGUUCGAGCUGGGCUAAAAGGGAGUAAAGAGACCAUCCCUCCCCCUACAGGUGGACUCCGGGCUCUCCGUUGAAAUGUGUUGAAUGUAAUUCCAUGUAUCCUGACUGACGACUGGCAGCCAGUGCUUACCAUGUCAUCUCAUACACCUUCCGUGACAGUCCUUUGCUCCACCCGGUUCACAAGGUAACUCCCCCACUGUUCUCUGCAAACAGUUCUACCAAUGCUGGAGAGAGAAGUGCCCGGUGCAGUGAUCUUGCCUGAUGUCAUUGGACCGGAGAGCCAGACGGCCCAGCUGGUGGUUCUAGAAGAAGGCGGCACGCAGUACGUGGUGCCCACUGUCGGGCACAUCUUGUCAACGAGGCAGCUGAUUUUCUACCGCGGAGGGGCUUUAGCUGCUGCUCUUGCUGUCUUUUUGGCCGGAAUUCUAAUAAGAGUUUUUGGGGACCGUGGCUAAAACACUGUCAUCAGCUGUCUACUAACCGAUUACAGAUGAUAGGCAUCAGUUAAGCCUGGAAGGCGACCUUGUCGUUUGGCCGAUGGUCUUCAUGCCCCAGAUGUUAGUGUUGUUCCUUGGUCAUUCUGAGAAGCUACCCUAUCCUAACAGUGGUUCGAGAACGGAGCUAGAAUUUGAAGUAAACUUUUUCUCUGUUGACUCCAUCAUGGUUUCUAAAUCCAUAAAUUUGAUUUUGCCUACUAUAAAGGUUCUUCUUUUUUUUCUUUCUUUAAGAUUUCAUUUACUUGAAAAGCAGAGUGGCAGAGAAAGAGAGAGAGAUCUUCCAUACACUGAUACACUCCCCAGCCACAACACCUGGGGCUGGGCCAGGUCAAAGCCUGGAGCCUGGAACUCCACCCUGGUCUCCCCCAUGAGUGAGAGAGGCCCAAACACUGGGGCCAUCCUUCGCUGCUUUCCCAGGUGCAUUCGCAGGGAGCUGGACCGGAAGUGGAGCAGCAGGGACUUGAACCUGUGCUCAUGUGGGAUGUGGGUGUCGCCAGCAGCGGCUUCACCUGCUGCUCCACAACACUGGCCCCUGGAAAUGUUCUUUUAUGUUCUUUACUCUUUCUGUAUGGAAAAUAGUUUUCCUCCUUCGGGAAGGUUGCUUCAUUUUUUUGUGCUUGGUGGCUGACCUCAUUCAGUUGGUCUGUUAAUGUAUUCUGUUAAUGUCGAGGUUUGAUACAAUGAACAUCUUAAAACCGAAAGUGUGGCUGGCAAUAUUUGGGGAAUAUAAAGUCAAUAAAAGUCGUUUUCAUUUU